AUUACCGCGGCUGCUGGCACGUAGUUAGCCGGUGCUUUUUCUGCAGGUACCGUCACUUUCGCUUCUUCCCUACUAAAAGAGGUUUACAACCCGAAGGCCGUCAUCCCUCACGCGGCGUUGCUGCAUCAGGCUUUCGCCCAUUGUGCAAUAUUCCCCACUGCUGCCUCCCGUAGGAGUCUGGGCCGUGUCUCAGUCCCAGUGUGGCCGGUCACCCUCUCAGGCCGGCUACCCGUCGUCGCCUUGGUGAGCCAUUACCUCACCAACAAGCUGAUAGGCCGCGAGUCCAUCCCCAACCAAAAAAUCUUUCCACCACCAGACCAUGCGGCCAGUGAUCAUAUCCAGUAUUAGACGUCGUUUCCAACGCUUAUCCCAGAGUCAGGGGCAGGUUACUCACGUGUUACUCACCCGUUCGCCACUAAUCCACCCAGCAAGCUGGGCAUCAUCGUUCGACUUGCAUGUGUUAAGCACGCCGCCAGCGUUCGUCCUGAGCCAGAUCCAACUCU
rnacentral:rRNA from 1 species